rnacentral:rRNA from 1 species
CAGAGGGCGCGAGCGUUGUCCGGAAUCACUGGGCGUGAAGGGCGCGUAGGUGGCCACUAUAAGGCUGUGGUGAAAGUUCGGGGCUCAACCCCGAAUCUGCCGCGGCGACUGUAGGGCUUGGGCACUGUAGAGGCAGAUGGAAUUCCGGGUGUAGCGGUGGAAUGCGUAGAGAUCCGGAAGAACACCAGUGGCGAAGGCGGUCUGCUGGGCAGUGGGAGCGCAAGCUCCUCUUAGCCGACACUGAGGCGCGACAGCGUGGGGAGCAAACAGGAUUAGAUACCCUGGUAGUCCACGCCGUAAACGAUGGGCACUAGGUGCUUUGGGGAGCGACCCCCGGGGUACCGGCGCUAACGCAUGAAGUGCCCCGCCUGGGGAGUACGGCCGCAAGGCUG